CUCCGUUCAAGCUGUGGAAGGCUGCUGCAGCUCAGUGGGGAGGAGCUCUGACAUCUGGAGAAGAAUGAGCUCUGAACAAUUAUUUAUGUGAGUGGUGUGCAUCUGGCGGGUGGAACGUUUAGGCCGCUGUGGCCGAGGCUUUCGAAAGAGUGGACUGCUGCUCAACCCUAUGGGCCUCACCCCGUGCAACGACGUGUCUAAACAUGUGGGGGCUGCCUGCAAAAAGGAAAAAAGGAGGAUGGGGGUUGAACUGUUGCCUGUGCCGGUCAAAUAAAGCGUAUGACU